CCCUUAGAUGUUCUGGGCUGCACGCGCGCUACACUGACGAAGCCAGCGAGUUUACAACCUGUUUCGGAAGGGAUGGGUAAUCUUGUGAAACUUCGUCGUGAUGGGGAUAGAUCUUUGUAAUUAUCGAUCUUCAACGAGGAAUUCCUAGUAAGCGCGACUCAUCAGGUCGCGUUGAUUUCGUCCCUGCCCUUUGUACACACCGCCCGUCGCUACUACCGAUUGAGUGGUUUAGUGAGGUCUCGGGACUGGCCUCAAGGUGGGUCAAACCACCUUGAAGCCGGGAACCUGAUCAAACUUGAUCACUUAGAGGAAGUAAAAGUCGUAACA
rnacentral:rRNA from 1 species